GUUCUUCCGCCAGCGCCCAUCGUGAAGACCACAGUUUCCUGUCGCGUGGAUGUGUUUCCUCUCUGGCCAUUGCCAUCCGCCCAAAUCUACAGACAUCCCGCAUGUUCCCGGGCUCGUCUCCCCAAUACAGGGCACCAAGGCUGUAGACUGCGCAGCCCUCCUGGAGACAGAUGGAAGCUCCUUGGGUCGACAGAUUACAGCUUCUGGAACCCCCUACUCCCUUCAACUCCGAGAUGGACACCCACUGUCCAGGGAGAGGAUGCCUGGAAAUAACAGCUGGGAUCUACAGUGGCCAAAGAGUUGUCUCCGUCUUGCUACAUCGACAAACUGGUGCUCCUGACCACUUCGGAAGCGUUUUCCUCUCCACUCUGACAACAGGCAAGAGUGAGGGUCCAACAAUACAGAGGAAGUAACGUGUCGCUGCUACUCUUCCAUGCCCAGUGCCAGGAGCGACGGUACACUCCAGAGUGCUGUGCCCUGAUGGGCCUUUGAGUGGCCAGUGCAGUGGAUCAUCAGCCCUGUCUCCCAAGAGCUCCAGUCCCUUCUCCGGAGAGGAAGUGGGUCCACUGGCAGCUCAGGAGGCCAUAGCAGGUAAGUCAUACACUUGCUACUGUUCAGAGGCCUCAUCAAGAGAUUGGAGUUUGAGAGAAUGUAAGGAUGGCUCUGUCCAGUCUGGAGCCCCAGCCUUUGAGUCCCUAGAGUUUCCUGUAGUAUUUUCUGCCUCUUUGGGGGCGGGGAAGAUGAGUGGGGAGUGGUGUGUGGAUCCUCCCACCUAGGUCGUGCAUGGGUAAGUGUGAGGCCUUUCCAGUGUUAGUGAAUUGUAAGGGCAAGGGAGUGGACGUAGGCAUUGAAGACACUUGUAUAUGCCACGGUCUCCCUCUUUUUGUCAUUGUGUUGGGUAGCAGUGACUUGUUAGCAGUGGAGGGAAAAGUCAUAGUUGAACGAUGGAGAGUUAGGGUGGUCCGGAGCACCUAUCUGCUCUGGCUCUUUGAGGCCCCUCCCUUCCCGUUCAUUCUUCUGCCAGUGGCAGAAGUGCACCCACGUGUGUGCCUUGCUUCUGCCCUGGAAAGCUGGGCCUCAGCCUAGACAUCAGGUGACUAGCUGUUACCUAGCUAGUCCCCAGAUUCCACCUUAAUUAAGCAGCCUUACCUGUUUUGAUCUUCCAUUUCCUGACUUGGAAAACUAAAGCUAAGACAAAGGUUUUUCAGGACUGACUCCCCCUUCUUCUUGGCAGAUUGUGGGGCUCUGUGCAGUUGAUGUUAGUUAACCACUGGAUCCACGUGUUCACCGUGGCUUGCGCCCCUGCAUCCGAAAGUGAUCUUGGCUGCCGUGUCCUGGUCAUUGGUAGUGCAGGGAAAGGAUGCGGAAAGACGGGCUCCGAGCUCGGGGCGUCUGGCCUGGAGCUUUCCUACACUUGUGUCUUGCUCUGCAGCCUUACGGAAGUGUGGGUGGCGCUUUCUGGAAGCUGCACAAGUCAGUGCUGGGUCUUCGCAACUUGGUGUUCUGUUUCCAGAAACUUGGGGUGUUUGCAUGUGCUAGGUCAGCACAGAUUUCCAAAGGAUCUCUAGGUGGGUUCCCUAACUUUUCACAGAGGAGCAGAAGGUAGAUGACAGGAGGAGAGGUGGGGCUGGACUGAGGGGAGCUGUGUGUGCCAGGGUGGGGUGGGGCGGGGCGUGUAACAGCCCUUAAGCGUGUGUUGAGAGAAGGAGCUCCCUGGUACAGAGUGUGCAGCUCCCUUCCCAGCCUGUGGUCCCCGUGGCCCAAUGAGUUUUUGUAUCACUUGUGAGCCACUGGUCUUAAAAUGCAUGGUUUGCAGACCAAAAUGCAGUCCAACAUUAUUUGUUUCAUGUGUCUAUGUGAAUGCACAUAUGUAUGUAUGUCAUUUGUGCCUGGUGCCUGUGAAGAGUUUAUUGGGGGCUAGGAAUUUCAGAGGGUGACUCUUCAGGAUCUAUAUGGCUUCAGGCACGGCCAUGUUGGACAGUAGCUGGGAGCUCACAUACGUGAUAGGACCACCAGGCAGGGAGCUAACUGAAUGGCAUGGGCUUUUGGAGCCUCAAAGCUCUCCUGCCCCACCCCCAUGAUACCUCCACUAACAAGGCCAUACUUCCUAAUGGUCCCAAGCAGUUCUACCAACUAGGGACCAAAUAUUCAAGUAUAUGAGCCUAUAGGUGGAGGAACUUCCACACAGAUCCAAACUUUUAACAAAACAAAAAGCAGGAAAGCCAACUUUAUCAGAAGUUACAAUGUAAUCAGUGUCAGAAGGAAGAGAAUGGAAGUGGGAGACUGAGGUGGGGGGUAUGCUGAGGAUAUGGGAAGUGGGAGAUUGCGUGGGGGGGGGCUGAGGGUGUGGCUUUCAGUUGAGUGUCCAGCAUGGGAGGAGAAAGGGGGCUCUGGGAAGAAGCUGCUGCAGCCACCUUGUGUUCCCCCCACCCCCAGCUAAUAGCUGUGUCUUGGUUCCUGGUGAGAUCUUGGUUGACUCGGGGGUCCUGAGUGUGGCUUGUCUCUGCAGGAUUGUCACGUGUGCUCAACAGUCCUCCUCGGCUUUCCAGAAGAGGCUGGAACAGGGCCCUUGAAGAUGUUUGUGGACAUCAGAGGGCCAAAGACGACACAAAGUGAAACUGGAGACACCGCCCCCCCUUGGCAUCAUGAAACUGCCGAUGUUACUGGCUCAUGCAUGGGAGACACCAGCAUACAAAGUCUUGACACCAACACCUCAGAGGGCUGUGUUCUGUCCCCGUGACCAUCAUCUAGUGCCUGGAAAGACUAGUGACAAGAACUUGUUGCCAACUUCCUAUUACCUCCCUAACAGUUGUGCAAUAAACCCCAUAGGUUAA
rnacentral:lncRNA from 1 species